rnacentral:rRNA from 1 species
CAGACGGUAAAUCGAGCCCUAUACGGGACUAAUUUGCUAGAGUUACUUACGCGGGGGUUAUAAAGUACUAAUGGUGUAGAGAUAAAAUUUUGUAAUACCAUUCUUCGAAAGAAGAGUUAUGGCACUGAUAAAGGCGAAAGCAUCCCCUAAUGUGAUAACUGACGUUGAAGGACGAAGGCUUUGGAUAGCAAAUAGGAUUAGAUACCCUAGUAGUCUAAGCAGAGAAUUAUGAGUGUCAUAAAUUAGAGAUAAACCUUUAUUUUAUAAAUGAAAGUGUAAGCACUCCACCUCAAGAGUAAUUUGGCAACAUUGGAACUGAAAUCAUUAGACCGUUUCUGAAACCAGUAGUGAAGUAUGUUGUUUAAUUUGAUAAUCCGCAAAAAACCUUACCACAGCUUGAAUGUUUAUAUUUUUUAUAGAUACAAGCGUUGCACGGCUGUCUUCAGUUAAUGUCGUGAGACUUUGGUUAGAUCCAUUAAAUUAACGCAAACCCUUACUUUAUUUUUGAAUAAAGUCGUUCCCCACUAUAUUGGAUAUGAUAACAGGGACUAAGACAAGUCAUCAUGGCCUGAAUGCUGUGGGCUAUAGACGUGCCACAUGGACCUUUACAAAAGGAUGUUAAAUUGCGAAAUUAGACUAAUCCC